rnacentral:rRNA from 1 species
AUUGAACGCUGGCGGCAUGCUUUACACAUGCAAGUCGAACGGCAGCGCGGGCUUCGGCCUGGCGGCGAGUGGCGAACGGGUGAGUAAUGCAUCGGAACGUGCCCAGUAGUGGGGGAUAGCCCGGCGAAAGCCGGAUUAAUACCGCAUACGACCUGAGGGUGAAAGCGGGGGACCGAAAGGCCUCGCGCUAUUGGAGCGGCCGAUGUCGGAUUAGCUAGUUGGUGGGGUAAAGGCUUACCAAGGCGACGAUCCGUAGCUGGUCUGAGAGGACGACCAGCCACACUGGGACUGAGACACGGCCCAGACUCCUACGGGAGGCAGCAGUGGGGAAUUUUGGACAAUGGGGGCAACCCUGAUCCAGCCAUGCCGCGUGCGGGAAGAAGGCCUUCGGGUUGUAAACCGCUUUUGUUCGGGAAGAAAUCCUCUGGGCUAAUACCCCGGGGGGAUGACGGUACCGGAAGAAUAAGCACCGGGUAACUACGUG